rnacentral:misc_RNA from 1 species
UGCGUGCGUUUGUUUAUUUCUUCCUCCUCCUCCUCCUCCUCUCGCACGGUUUGUUCGUAUCUUAAAAAAGCGGUUUUUUGAGGAGAUGACGUAGUGUUUUUUUUUUGAAAUUGGGUCUAACAUGUGAGUUUUUUAAGAGGGGUUUAUAUGUCGCAGUCUAGUGGGAAAAAGGGGGCGGCCAAGGGCCUCCCGAAGCCCGACAAAAAUGAGGAAAGCAAUGGGACUAGUAAAGCGGGAAAUCCUAAGGAUGCGAAGGAAAAAGAAGAAACGUCGAGUAAUGCGGAGGGCGAGGAAAGUUCGUCGGGGGCGAAGCCCCAGUCCGCGGGGGCGAACAUAAGGGACGCGGCCCAAAGGAUCCUGACACUGUGCCAAAAAGCCGAGUGGGCCCCAGUGGACCAAAUAUUGAAGUCUAUGGAGAAGGCCAUCUCCAAUUCUGGAGAGGACGUAAACACUUUACCGUUGGCAGGAGUGGCCGAUCUGAUUACUGGCAUGACUCCGCUAAUGUACGCGGUGAAAGACAACAGGACGUCCCUCCUGGAUAGAAUGAUCGAUCUGGGAUCCGACGUUUGUGCCAGGAAUAACGACAACUACAACGUGUUGCAUAUCGCCUCGAUGCACUCCAGAGAGGACGUGGUCAAGCUGCUCCUGGGCAAAAAAGGGGUCGAUCCGUACUCCACCGGCGGGAGUCGUAAUCAAACGGCGGUUCAUUUGGUCGCUUCGAGACAAACCGGUACCGCUACCGCCAUUUUGAGGGCCCUCCUUCAAGCAGCCGGUAAAGACAUCAGAUUAAAGACUGACGGGAGAGGCAAAAUACCGCUUCUCUUAGCCGUAGAGGCAGGCAACCAAUCGAUGUGCAGAGAACUACUCAGUACCCUGACGUCGGAACAGUUAAAAGCCGCCGCCACCAAUGGGGACACCGCCCUCCACUUGGCCGUCAGAAGAAAAGACAUUGACAUGGUUAGGAUCCUGGUGGAUUACGGUACCAACGUGGAUAUCCGUAACGGGGAGGGCCAGACGCCCCUGCACAUAGCCGCCGCCGAGGGUGACGAGGUCCUGGUGAAGUAUUUUUACGGGGUGCGAGCUUCGGCAAGCAUCACCGACGACCAGGACCGUACUCCCAUGCAUUUAGCAGCCGAGAACGGACACGCCAAUAUCAUCGAGUUACUGGCGGACAAAUUCAAGGCGAGCAUCUUCGAGAGGACAAAAGACGGUUCAACCCUGAUGCACAUCGCGUCCCUUAAUGGACACGCGGACUGCGCCAUGAUGCUGUUUAAAAAGGGCGUCUAUCUUCACAUGCCCAACAAGGAUGGAGCGCGAAGUAUUCAUACUGCCGCACGCUACGGCCACGUGGGCAUAAUCAACACCUUGCUACAAAAAGGGGAAAAGGUUGACGUGACAACAAACGACAACUAUACGGCCCUGCACAUCGCCGUGGAGUCCUGCAAACCUUUGGUGGUGGAAACUUUGUUAGGUUAUGGCGCCGACGUGCACGUAAGAGGAGGUAAAUUGAAGGAAACAGCCCUUCAUAUCGCGGCCAGGGUAAAAGACGGGGAGAAAUGCGCCUUGAUGUUGCUCAAGUCGGGUGCCGGGCCUAAUAUAGCAACACACGAUGGCAACACACCGGUCCACGUGGCCGCCAAGUUCGGUAACCUACAGACGUUGCUGUUGCUACUGGAAGACGGGGGGGAUCCCCAGUACAAAAACAAGAUAUCAUCCGCCACGCAUAAAAAAGGUGAGACCCCUUUGCAUCUGGCAAGCCGGAACUGUCGCCCGGAUGUGGUGACCAACCUGAUCCGGUACGUCAAGGAGAAAAAGGGCGAAGAAGCUGCCGCGUUAUACGUGAACGCCCUAACGGAAAACGACGAGAGUGCCCUGCAUUACGUUUGUACCGUCGACAAACUGGACGUGGAAGUACCCAAUUCGGAUCGGGAAGUGGUGAAGCUGCUCCUGGAGAACGGCGCGGACGUGAAACUUCAAACGAAACAGCACGAGACCGCCUUCCAUCUGGUGGCGUCCGCGGGAAACAACGACGUGCUGUUGGAAAUGAUCGCGCACAUGUCGCCGACCGAUGCGCAGAAGGCUUUAAACAGGCAAAACGCCAACGGGUGGACUCCCUUACUUAUUGCGUCACAUCAAGGUCACAUAGAUUUGGUGAAUAAUUUACUGGCGAACCAUGCCAGGGUGGACGUUUUCGACCAGGAGGGUCGAUCGGCCCUACACCUUGCUGCGGAACGGGGCUACCUCCACGUAUGCGAUUCCUUACUAACCAAUAAAGCUUUCAUCAAUUCGAAAUCCAGAAAUGGAAGGACUGCGUUGCACUUGGCCGCCCUGAACGGCUACGUCCACCUAGUGAAGUUCCUGAUAAAAGACCAUAACGCCGUUAUCGACAUAUUGACAUUGAAAAAGCAGACCCCGUUACAUUUGGCCGCAGGGGCGGGGCAAAUAGAGGUGUGCAAACUGCUCCUGGAACUCGGCGCGGACAUCGAUGCAACCGACGAGGACGGUAAGAAGCCGAUCCACGCCGCCUGUCAAAACAAUUUCUCCGAGGUGGCCAAACUGUUCUUGCAGCAGCACCCGAGUUUAGUUAUGGCCACCACCAAAGAUGGCAACACUUGCGCCCACAUCGCCGCAGCCCAGGGCAGCGUUACCGUCAUCGAGGAACUGAUGAAAUUCGACAGACAGGGGGUGAUUUCAGCAAGAAAUAAAGUAACUGACGCCACACCACUACAAAUGGCAGCAGAGGGUGGCCACGCGGAAGUAGUCAAGGCACUAGUCAGAGCGGGCGCCUCAGUAACAGACGAAAACAAAGGUGGCUUCACUGCAGUCCACCUGGCCGCCCAAUACGGUCACAUGCAAGUGCUGGAGGUGUUAAGGUCCUCGAACAACUUGAGGGUCACCAGCAAGAAACUGGGGGUGACGCCCCUGCACGUGGCCGCCUAUUUCGGCCAAGCGGAUACGGUGAGGGAACUCCUCACUCACGUGCCCGGAACCGUAAAGUCGGAGCAGCCCAAUGGGGCGUCUUUGGUGCCCGCCCUCGGGAACGAGUCUGGAAUGACCCCGUUACACUUGGCCGCCUUUUCGGGCAAAGAGAACGUCGUCAGGCUCCUGCUGAACUCGGCAGGGGUGCAAGUGGACGCCAGCACCCACGAAAACGGUUAUAAUCCGAUGCAUUUGGCUUGCUAUGGGGGUCACGUGACGGUGGUGGGGUUGUUGCUGAGCCGAUCAGCUGAGCUGCUGGAAAGCAGAGAUCGACACGGAAAAACUGGGCUGCACAUCGCCGCCACGCACGGACACUAUCAGAUGGUGGAGGUACUACUAGGCCAAGGGGCGGAGAUUAACGCCCCCGACAAAAACGGUUGGACCCCAUUACAUUGCGCCUCCAGAGCCGGUUACGUGGACUGCGUGAAACUGCUAACCGAAUCGGGGGCAUCCCCGAAAUCGGAAACGAACCUGGGGGCGGUACCGAUAUGGUUCGCCGCCUCCGAGGGGCACCACGCCGUCCUCGAGUACCUCAUGACCAAGGAGCACGACACCUACGCCCUCAUGGAAGAUCGUCGCUUCGUCUAUAACCUGAUGGUGUGCUCGAAGAAUCACAACAACCGUCCGAUGGAGGAGUUCAUCUUGGUGUCGCCCGCCCCGGUGGACACCGCCGCCAAAUUGUCCAACAUUUUGAUCGUGUUGUCCAAUAAGGAGAAGGAGAGGGCGAAGGAUCUGAUUGCUGCCGGGAAGUUUUGUGAGGCUAUGGCCACCGAACUGUUGGCCCUAGCCGCCGGUGCUGACUCGGCCGGUAAAAUCCUGACGGCAACCGACCGCAGAAACGUCGAAUUCCUGGACGUACUAAUCGAAAACGAGCAAAAAGAGGUUAUAGCCCACACUGUGGUCCAACGGUACCUUCAGGAACUGUGGAGGGGAGCGUUAAACUGGACCGCAUGGCGCACGUUGCUGCUCUUUGUGCUGUUCAUAAUAUGCCCCCCGGUCUGGAUAGCGUUCACUCUCCCGUUGGGGCAUAAGUACUAUAAAGUGCCCAUAAUCAAGUUCAUGUCGUACCUCACCUCCCACGUGUACCUUAUGCUGUUCCUGUUGGUUGUCGGCAUUACCCCGCCUUACCCCACUAUUAACCGGGAGAGUAUGUUGCCUUACUGGUACGAGUGGAUCCUGCUGGUGUGGCUCAGCGGUUUAUUGCUCUUCGAACUGACGAACCCCAGUGACAAGAGCGGACUGGGCUGGAUCAAAAUCUCCGUUUUAUUGUUCAGCAUUUUCGGGGUGGGUACCCACCUUAUCGGGCUUGUUUUUGUGGAAAAACGGUACUGGCCCACCCUGAUGUACUGUCGCAAUCAAUUGUUUGCACUCAGCUUCCUAUUGGCCUGCGUGCAGAUCUUGGACUUUUUGUCUUUUCAUCAUCUGUUUGGACCCUGGGCUAUUAUUAUUGGGAAUUUAAUGAAGGAUCUGGCGAGAUUCUUGGCGGUACUGGCGAUCUUCGUUUUCGGAUUCUCGAUGAUGUUCGUUGCCCUAAAUCAACCGUUCGACACCGACGGCCGUAAACGUACCACCGGGAUAUUCAAAGACGGCCCAAUCGGACAUAGAGUGGAAGUUUGGCCUCAGUAAGUUGAUCCGGAACAUGCACAGGACGACCACGGCGCCCUCCCCGAUUAACUUGAUCACCACGUGGCUCUUUUACCUGGUGGACAUAUGCAAAAAGAGAGUCAAAACGAAAAAACGCCAAAGUUUGGUACAUCUGAUGGGCAGUUUUCAGAAGGGCACCCAGUUAAGUCCCAG